rnacentral:rRNA from 1 species
CCUACGGGUGGCAGCAGUGAGGAAUAUUGGUCAAUGGACGAGAGUCUGAACCAGCCAAGUAGCGUGAAGGAUGACUGCCCUAUGGGUUGUAAACUUCUUUUAUAUGGGAAUAAAACGUUCCACGUGUGGGAUUUUGUAUGUACCAUAUGAAUAAGGAACGGCUAACUCCGUGCCAGCAGCCGCGGUAAUACGGAGGAACCGAGCGUUAUCCGGAUUUAUUGGGUUUAAAGGGAGCGUAGGUGGAUUGUUAAGUCAGUGGUGAAAGUUUGCGGCUCAACCGUAAAAUUGCAGUUGAAACUGGCAGUCUUGAGUACAGUAGAGGUGGGCGGAAUUCGUGGUGUAGCGGUGAAAUGCUUAGAUAUCACGAAGAACUCCGAUUGCGAAGGCAGUUCACUGGACUGCAACUGACACUGAGGCUCGAAAGUGUGGGUAUCAAACAGGAUUAGAUACCCGAGUAGUC